AAAUAAGAAACAAAACAUUGUAUUUAGUUUCGACCUAAAAUUUUGGCUAGAUGCCCUUAUUUA
rnacentral:tRNA from 2 species